rnacentral:rRNA from 1 species
AUUGAACGCUGGCGGCAGGCCUAACACAUGCAAGUCGAGCGGCAGCGGGAAAGUAGCUUGCUACUUUUGCCGGCGAGCGGCGGACGGGUGAGUAAUGCCUGGGGAUCUGCCCAGUCGAGGGGGAUAACUACUGGAAACGGUAGCUAAUACCGCAUACGCCCUACGGGGGAAAGCAGGGGACCUUCGGGCCUUGCGCGAUUGGAUGAACCCAGGUGGGAUUAGCUAGUUGGUGAGGUAAUGGCUCACCAAGGCGACGAUCCCUAGCUGGUCUGAGAGGAGAAUCAGCCACACUGGAACGGAGACACGGUCCAGACGCGUACGGGAGGCAGCAGUGGGGAAUAUUGCACAAUGGGGGAAACCCUGAUGCAGCCAUGCCGCGUGUGUGAAGAAGGCCUUCGGGUUGUAAAGCACUUUCAGCGAGGAGGAAAGGUUGGUAGCUAAUAACUGCCAGCUGUGACGUUACUCGCAGAAGAAGCACCGGCUAACUCCGUGCCAGCCGCCGCCGUAAAAC